UACAGAGGGUGCGAGCGUUGUUCGGAAUUAUGGGGCGUAAAGGGCGCGUAGGCGGUGCGGUAAGUCACCUGUGAAAUCUCCUGGCUCAACUGGGAGCUUGCAGGCGAAACUGCCGUGCUGGAGUGUGGGAGAGGUGCGUGGAAUUCCCGGUGUAGCGGUGAGAUGCGUAGAUAUCGGGAGGAACACCUGUGGCGAAAGCGGCGCACUGGACCACAACUGACGCUGAGGCGCGAAAGCUAGGGGAGCAAACAGG
rnacentral:rRNA from 1 species